UACGUAGGGGGCGAGCGUUGUCCGGAUUUAUUGGGCGUAAAGAGCUCGUAGGCGGCUUGGCAAGUCGGGUGUGAAACCUCCAGGCUCAACCUGGAGACGCCACUCGAUACUGCCAUGGCUAGAGUCCGGUAGGGGACCACGGAAUUCCUGGUGUAGCGGUGAAAUGCGCAGAUAUCGGGAGGAACACCAAUGGCGAAGGCAGCUCGCUGGGACGGUACUGACGCUGAGACGCGAAAGCGUGGGGAGCAAACAGG
rnacentral:rRNA from 1 species